GCCUACGGGGCGCAGCAGUGGGGAAUAUUGGGCAAUGGGCGCAAGCCUGACCCAGCAACGCCGCGUGAAGGAAGAAGGCUUUCGGGUUGUAAACUUCUUUUAAGAGGGAAGAGUAGAAGACGGUACCUCUUGAAUAAGCCACGGCUAACUACGUGCCAGCAGCAGCGGUAAUACGUAGGUGGCAAGCGUUGUACGGAUUUACUGGGGGUAAAGGGCGUGUAGCCGGGCCGGCAAGUCAGAUGUGAAAUCCGUAGGCUCAACCUUGGAACUGCAUUUGAAACUAUUGGUCGUGAGUAUCGGAGAAG
rnacentral:rRNA from 1 species